rnacentral:rRNA from 1 species
UACGAAGGGGGCUAGCGUUGUCCGGAAUCAUUGGGCGUAAAGCGCGUGUAGGCGGUCCGGUAAGUCCGCUGUGAAAGUCGGGGGCUCAACCCUCGAAUGCCGGUGGAUACUGUCGGGCUAGAGUGCGGAAGAGGCGAGUGGAAUUCCUGGUGUAGCGGUGAAAUGCGCAGAUAUCAGGAGGAACACCCGUAGCGAAGGCGGCACUCUGGGCCGAUACUGACACUGAGGAGCGAAAGCGUGGGGAGCGAACAGG